GAGGAAGUAAAAGUCGUAACAAGGUUUCCGUAGGUGAACCUGCGGAAGGAUCAUUAAUGAUUGCGAAUGGUUGCCUUCGGUGCUGGCUCUUGCAAGUGCACGUUGGUGGCUUUCAUCCAAUACCCUUGUGAACCUUUGGCCUCUUGCUGGCUUUGGCCGGCAGAGGAUUUUUACACACACUCGAAUGUAAUGAAAACUAUUGUCGUGCGCAAGCACUAAUGUACAACUUUCAACAACGGAUCUCUUGGCUCUCGCAUCGAUGAAGAACGCAGCGAAAUGCGAUAAGUAAUGUGAAUUGCAGAAUUCAGUGAAUCAUCGAAUCUUUGAACGCACCUUGCACCCUUUGGUAUUCCGAAGGGUAUGCUCGUUUGAGUGUCAUUGUACUCUCACUCUCUCUGAUCCUUUGGAUUCAGGGAGUGGUGGACUUGGGUGUUUGCUGCUUUCCUUGUGGCUCACCUCAAAUGCGUCAGUGCACCUCUUGGUUGGACAUAGUACGGCGUGAUAAGUAUCUUCGCCGGCACCUCGCGAGAGGGUGGCCGAUCGGGAGCUCUGUGCUUUCAAACUGUCUUCGGACAAUCUCUGACAACUUGACCUCAAAUCGAGUAGGACUACCCGCUGAACUUAAGCAUA
rnacentral:rRNA from 1 species